ACACGGAACUGCCGGUCAUAAACCGGAGGAAGGUGGGGAUGACGGUCAAGUCAGCAUGGCCUUUAUAUCCCUGGGCUACACACACGCUACAAUGGGAAGGGACAAUAGGUUGCGAAGCCGCGAGGCGGAGCCAAUCCAGCAAAACUUCCCUCAGUUCAGAUUGCAGGCUGCAACUCGCCUGCAUGAAGUUGGAGUUGCUAGUAAACGCAGGUCAGCCAUACUGCGUUGAAUACGUUCCCGGGGCUU
rnacentral:rRNA from 1 species